AGCGGAGGUACCUCGGUGGCUGCUGGCUUGGGCUUUGCGGAGCAUAGUCAGGUUGUUUAGAACUUUCCACCGCAAGACGCUACUAGUCGGGCUGCCGGAAAUAAAUGUUAGUAUGGAGAAUGAUUUCAACACUGAAUCAUCAUGUACCUUUACUCUUCAAAGUUCUUCAGAGACAAUGGUUUCUAUUCAGUUAUUAGAUUUCAAAAUAAGUUUCCUGGAAGCAUUAGAAGAAUUGCGUAUGAGAAGGCCUCUCGAGUAGCUGGAAUUGCAGGCGUGUACCUCUCCACCACCAAGAAGCAGAAACUCAAUAUGAAAAGCAGAUUGAUAAAAUUACUAUGGAGACACAAGAACUUAAAUGGCAAAAGG